AAAUUAAAUAUUCUUUUGGAUAUAAAUUUCAACAGUGAGAUAGCUGCCUAGUGGAAAUGAAUAAUAUCCCAGCCACUAGUGUACAGGGUGUUUUGUGGCACAGGAUUAUGUAAUAUGGAACUGCUCAAGCAAAUAACUAGUCAUCACAACAGCAGUUCUUUGUAAUAACUGAAAAAGAAUAUUGUUUCUCGGAGAAGGAUGUCAAAAGAUCGGCCCAGCUCAGGGAGCAGUUUGCCCUACUAGCUCCUCGGACAGCUGUAAGAAGAGUCUCUGGCUCUUUAGAAUACUGAUCCCAUUGAAGAUACCACGCUGCAUGUGUCCUUAGUAGUCAUGUCUCCUUAGGCUCCUCUUGGACAUUCUGAGCAUGUGAGACCUGAGGACUGCAAACAGCUAUAAGAGGCUCCAAAUUCAUCAUAUCUUUCCCUUUGAGAAUCUGGCCAAGCUCCAGCUAAUCUACUUGGAUGGGUUGCCAGCUAUCUGGAGAAAAAGGUGGAGAUGGGGCAUGAGGAUCCUCCAGGGGAAAAGCUCACUACCACUGGGCAACAACCCUAGGUCAGGAGGUUCUGUCAAGAUACUUUCCUGGUCCCAGAUAGGAAGAUAAAGUCUCAAAAACAACCACCACACGUCAAGCUCUUCAUUGUUCCUACCUGCCAAAUCAUUAUACUUCCUACAAGCAGUGCAGAGAGCUGAGUCUUCAGCAGGUCCAAGAAAUUUGAACACACUGAAGGAAGUCAGCCUUCCCACCUGAAGAUCAACAUGCCUGGCACUCUAGCA
rnacentral:lncRNA from 1 species